CACGUAGGGUGCGAGCGUUGUCCGGAAUUAUUGGGCGUAAAGAGCUCGUAGGCGGUUCGGCAAGUCGGGUGUGAAAUUUCGAGGCUCAACCUCGAAACGCCACUCGAUACUGCUGUGACUGGAGUCCGGUAGAGGAGUGCGGAAUUCCUGGUGUAGCGGUGAAAUGCGCAGAUAUCAGGAGGAACACCAACGGCGAAGGCAGCACUCUGGGCCGGUACUGACGCUGAGGAGCGAAAGCGUGGGGAGCAAACAGG
rnacentral:rRNA from 1 species